GACCGGCUUCUAACUGUCUGCAAGGACAAAUUUGACCAAUCUUGACCUCAAAUCAGGUAGGACUACCCGCUGAACUUAAGCAUAUCAAUAAGCGGAGGA
rnacentral:rRNA from 1 species